CCUACGGGGGGCUGCAGUGAGGAAUAUUGGUCAAUGGGCGUAAGCCUGAACCAGCCAAGUCGCGUGAGGGAUGAAGGUUCUAUGGAUCGUAAACCUCUUUUAUAAGGGAAUAAAGUGCGGGACGUGUCCCGUUUUGUAUGUACCUUAUGAAUAAGGAUCGGCUAACUCCGUGCCAGCCGCCGCGGUAAUACGGAGGGUCCGAGCGUUAUCCGGAUUUAUUGGGUUUAAAGGGUGCGUAGGCGGCCUUUUAAGUCAGCGGUGAAAGUCUGUGGCUCAACCAUAGACUUGCCGUUGAAACUGGGGGGCUUGAGUGUGUGUGAGGCAGGCGGAAUGCGUGGUGUAGCGGUGAAAUGCUUAGAUAUCACGCAGAACCCCGAUUGCGAAGGCAGCCUGCCGAGGCAUGACUGACGCUGAUGCACGAAAGCGUGGGGAUCGAACAGGAUUAGAUACCCUUGUAGUC
rnacentral:rRNA from 1 species